UACAGAGGUCUCAAGCGUUGUUCGGAUUCAUUGGGCGUAAAGGGUGCGUAGGCGGCGCGGUAAGUCGGGUGUGAAAUCUCGGAGCUUAACUCCGAAACUGCAUUCGAUACUGCCGUGCUUGAGGACUGGAGAGGAGACUGGAAUUUACGGUGUAGCGGUGAAAUGCGUAGAUAUCGUAAGGAAGACCAGUGGCGAAGGCGGCUCACUGGUCCGGUACUGACGCUGAGACGCGAAAGCGUGGGGAGCAAACAGG
rnacentral:rRNA from 1 species